CACCGAGCGGCUUCUUUUUUUUGGUCUUUUUGUUGGUCGCGUCCGCAUCGUCCAUUUUUCUCCGGCCAAGGGUGCGUCGACGGCUAGAACUUGGCAUUGCCCGCGAGCCAGUAUGCGCGCGACCACGGGUCGUCCUCCCGUGGCGAUCUCGGCGGCACCUUGGUGUUCCACACGAAAUCGGGCGUGUCGUCGAGGCCAUAGGCCGCAUGGUGCAGGCCAAACCAUUCGACAAAGGCCGUCGGCGCGCGCGGUCCGGGCACCCCGUUGUCGUCGUCCCCGUCGUCAUCGCAUGGAGAUGGUACCACAUUGGCAUAGGCCCUCGCCACCAACGCGCGCGUCUCCUCGGGCGUGUAGAGACCAAGCACUCGCGCCGCGGCCUGCAGCAUCAAACCCGGUUCCGGCAAGGCCGCUGCAGCCGCCAGUUUGCGUUGCAGCCGCUCUGGCCUGCCCGCGUCCAGGGUCUCGUCAUUGGUGCCGUCGCCUGUCACAGCGGCGAACCGACGACGCGGCCCCGUGGCCAAGGCGUUGUCCUGUACCCGUCCUACACCAUCGCUGUCAGCCGCAUCGCGCAUCCGCUUGAGCCCCGUAAUAUCCGAUGGAUCGUCAUCGUCGACACGCGCCCGCGACGCAACCGCUGUCAGAUCCCUCUCUUGGCCCAAGUCGCCCGUCGUCAUCGGCAUCGGCCCGUCCGACGCUGCCUUGGCCAAGUCACGGAGUCCCCGUGACUCGGCGCCAAGGAGGGCGCGGCGCCCCGCGUGUGCCCUCCUGUGGGUGGUGCUGCCGACAAAGCGUAAUGCAGGCGCCGGGCAGGCAGUUCCACUCGGCGCCAUAAAGGCCGCCAGCACCGACGGACUCGCGCAAGGGCCGCGCGCAGUGUGAGAUCCCGUCCUGUCGUCGCCGUCGUCGCCCUCGACGCGCGCAUCCACUUCUUGCCCUCGGCGCUCAUUCACUUGGACUGUCGUCUGUACCAUCGCUUCCGGUUGCGCUUUGGUUUGCCUGAUCAUCGCAACCCGUUGGUCUUGUGGGUCCAUCGCGUGCGUAAUCAGGGUCAGCCCCGCAAAAAAAAAGAACCCCAACACCGAUCGUGGCACCGAUCACCCCUGCCCGGUCGGUGCCUUGCGCGCGCGCGCACGCCGGCAUCACUUUUUGUCCUCCCGUCGUUUUCUUUCAUUUUUCCCCAUCUAUUUUCCCAAAGUGCCUUUUUGUGCGUCACUCGUCGGUUUUCUGUUGUCGUCGUUGUUGGGUUUUUUUUCGGUGACGAGUUCCCGUUUGCGGCGGGGCCGGCCUUUUCGAGCGACGACAGCGACGGUCGAUCCGCCAGUGCCCGCCGCUGUCGUCGCUCGCGAUCGCCAAACAAGGACAGACGGACGACAAAAAAAGCCGACAACCAUCGCCAUCCAUCGAAAGAUUUAUAAAAAAAAAUGAAAAACUCUUUUUGGC
rnacentral:lncRNA from 1 species